GGGUCAGUAGGUUGGACGUGCCACCGGUACGUACUGGUCUCACUGAUUCCUCCUUCCUGAAGAACCGUAAUGCCAUUAAUUUGGUGUUGCGGGGAAACAGGACUGUUACUUUGAAAAAAUUAGAGUGUUUAAAGCAAGCUAACGCUUGAAUACAUUAGCAUGGAGUAAUGAAAUAGGACGAUCGAUCCUAUUUUGUUGGUUUCUAGGAUUGACGUA
rnacentral:rRNA from 1 species